rnacentral:rRNA from 1 species
UACAGAGGUGGCAAGCGUUGUUCGGAAUUACUGGGCGUAAAGGGCGCGUAGGCGGUUCGUUAAGUCCUGUGUGAAAUCCCCCGGCUCAACUGGGGAACUGCACAGGAAACUAGCGGGCUUGAGUUCGGGAGAGGGAAGCGGAAUUCCGGGUGUAGCGGUGAAAUGCGUAGAUAUCGGGAGGAACACCGGUGGCGAAGGCGGCUUGCUGGGCCAGUUCUGACGCUGAGGAGCGAAAGCGUGGGGAGCGAACAGG